rnacentral:rRNA from 1 species
GAUGAACGCUAGCGGCAGGCCUAAUACAUGCAAGUCGAACGGAUAUAUGUUUUUCGGAAUAUAUAUUAGUGGCGCACGGGUGAGUAACACGUACAUAACUUGCCCUCAAGCGGGGGAUAGCCUUGGGAAACUGAGAGUAAUACCCCAUAGAAUUAUUGGACGGCAUCGUUUGAUAAUUAAAACUACGGUGCUUGGGGAUAGAUGUGCGUCUGAUUAGCUAGUUGGUGAGGUAACUGCUCACCAAGGCGACGAUCAGUAGGGGGCGUGAGAGCGUGGCCCCCCACACGGGUACUGAGACACGGACCCGACUCCUACGGGAGGCAGCAGUAAGGAAUAUUGGUCAAUGGAGGGAACUCUGAACCAGCCAUGCCGCGUGAAGGAUGACGGCCCUCUGGGUUGUAAACUUCUUUUGGAUGGGGCGAAAAAACGGGAUUUAUCCUGGACUGACGGUACCAUCAGAAUAAGCACCGGCUAACUCCGUGCCAGCAGCCGCGGUAAAGUAUCG